GAUGAAGAACGUAGCGAAAUGCGAUACUUGGUGUGAAUUGCAGAAUCCCGCGAAUCAUCGAGUUUUUGAACGCAAGUUGCGCCCGAAGCCAUUCGGCCGAGGGCACGUCUGCCUGGGUGUCACGCAUCGUUGCCCCCCCAAACUCCGGUUCGGGCGGGGCGGAAGUUGGCCUCCCGUGCGUGCCUGCGCGCGCGGUUAGCCCAAAAGCGAGUCCUCGGCGACGAGCGCCACGACAAUCGGUGGUUUUUUUACCCUCGUUCCUCGUCGUGCGUGCCCCGUCGCCCGAACGCGCUCUUGCGACCCUCACGAGUCGCCUCGGCGGCGCUCCCAACGCGACCCCAGGUCAGGCGGGACUACCCGCUGAGUUUAAGCAUAUCAAUAAGCGGAGGA
rnacentral:misc_RNA from 1 species